GACGAACGCUGGCGGCGUGCUUAACACAUGCAAGUCGAACGGACCAAAUAUUUAACACUGAGUAUUCAGUGUAGAAGUUAGUGAAGGAGACGACAGCGUCAAGCGCUUUAGCGCUUCACGCGUUUUCAAGCUUGCUAACACAAGACUGAGUAUUGAGUGUUAAAUAUUUGGUUAGUGGCGGACGGGUGAGUAACACGUGGGCAACCUGCCCUAAAGAGGGGGAUAACACCGAGAAAUCGGUGCUAAUACCGCAUGACAUUAGAGCUUCGCAUGGAGCUUUAAUCAAAGGACAAUCCGCUUUAGGAUGGGCCCGCGUCUGAUUAGCUAGUUGGUGAGGUAGAGGCUCACCAAGGCGACGAUCAGUAGCCGAUCUGAGAGGAUGACCGGCCACACUGGAACUGAGACACGGUCCAGACUCCUACGGGAGGCAGCAGGUGGGGAAUAUUGCACAAUGGGGGAACCCUGAUGCAGCAACGCCGCGUGGA
rnacentral:rRNA from 1 species